rnacentral:rRNA from 1 species
AACGAACGCUGGCGGCAGGCCUAACACAUGCAAGUCGAACGCUCGUAGCAAUACGGGAGUGGCAGACGGGUGCGUAACGCGUGGGAACAUACCCUUUGGUUCGGAAUAACUCAGGGAAACUUGAGCUAAUACCGGAUACGCCCGAGAGGGGAAAGAUUUAUUGCCGAAGGAUUGGCCCGCGUCUGAUUAGCUAGUUGGUGAGGUAACGGCUCACCAAGGCGACGAUCAGUAGCUGGUCUGAGAGGAUGAUCAGCCACACUGGGACUGAGACACGGCCCAGACUCCUACGGGAGGCAGCAGUGGGGAAUAUUGGACAAUGGGCGCAAGCCUGAUCCAGCCAUGCCGCGUGAGUGAUGACGGCCUUAGGGUUGUAAAGCUCUUUUACCCGGGAAGAUAAUGACGGUACCGGGAGAAUAAGCCCGGCUAACUUCGUGCCAGCAGCCGCGGUAAU